UACGUAGGGUGCGAGCGUUAAUCGGAAUUACUGGGCGUAAAGCGUGCGCAGGCUGUUUUGUAAGUCAGAUGUGAAAUCCCCGAGCUCAACUUGGGAACUGCGUUUGAAACUACAAGACUAGAAUAUGUCAGAGGGGGGUAGAAUUCCACGUGUAGCGGUGAAAUGCGUAGAUAUGUGGAGGAACACCGAUGGCGAAGGCAGCCUUCUGGGCCAACACUGACGCUCAUGCACGAAAGCGUGGGGAGCAAACAGG
rnacentral:rRNA from 1 species